UGCUUGAGGGGGUCAUUUGGGGAUUGGCCCUGCUUUGAGCAGGGGGUUGGACUAGAUGAUCCCUUGAGAUCCCUUCCCACCCUAAUAAUCUAUGAAUCUAUGUAGAGAAAAC